rnacentral:rRNA from 2 species
CCUAGUGACCGAUAGUGAACCAGUACCGUGAGGGAAAGGUGAAAAGCACCCCGGGAGGGGAGUGAAAUAGUUCCUGAAACCAUGUGCCUACAAUAAGUCAGAGCGCGUUAAUGCGUGAUGGCGUGCCUUUUGUAGAAUGAACCGGCGAGUUAUGAUCCCGUGCAAGGUUAAGACUAAAAAGUCGGAGCCGUAGCGAAAGCAAGUCUGAAAUGGGCGUUUUGAGUACGAGGUUAUAGACCCGAAACCAGGUGACCUAUCCAUGUCCAGGUUGAAGGUGCGGUAAAACGCACUGGAGGACCGAACCCGUGUAAGUUGAAAAUUGCUGGGAUGAGGUGUGGAUAGCGGUGAAAUUCCAAACGAACUUGGAGAUAGCUGGUUCUCUCCGAAAUAGCUUUAGGGCU